AGUGACUUCUAUUGCGCUUGCGCGUCAGACGUCAGUGCUCGUCGGCCGUCGCCACGGACUAAGAUUAACUGGACUUGAAACAUAUAAUAUUAUUUAUCAUAUUAUUAUUAUGAUAUUAUAUACCUGCCGCGGUGAUAUAAAUUGCGCCUGACAACUGGAAUAUCCUAUCUGAAAUUCAUUCCGUGCAUUUUUAUUUUCCUUGGGGCCCAUUGGUCUAAAGGACAGUCCUAUACUUACCUACUUGGUAUUAAUUUUAGUAUCGUGUGUUGGCCACAAACAUAAUAUAAAACGUUUAGCGUACACAAACAAGUUAUUCAAAUAUAUAUAUAUUUUUUUUUAUAUAUUAAUUAUACAAUAUGUAAAGUAUUAUUUUUUAUAAUAAGCACAAGACGUGAUAUUUUCGGCUGAGGUGUAUUCAUUUAAACAAAAGACUUUUAUCAACACAAAAAUUAUGAGAAGCGUUACAAAAAAAUUAGGAACUUAUUUCCAAAAAUCUGCAGGAUACAAACUGAUCAGGUCAUACAAAACUGAU